GGACAACCCGCCGAAAGGCGGGCUAAACCCGCGUACAUGCCACCGGGGCAUCCCGGAGGCAGGAAAGGCUUCGGCCGGACAGGGAUGGGCAUGCGGCGCAUUAGGCAGUAGGCGGGGUAACGGCCCACCUAACCGACGAUGCGUAGGGGUUCUGAGAGGAAGGUCCCCCACACUGGUACUGAGACACGGACCAGACUCCUACGGGAGGCAGCAGUGAGGAAUAUUGGUCAAUGGUCGGGAGACUGAACCAGCCAAGCCGCGUGAGGGAUGAAGGUACAGAGUAUCGUAAACCUCUUUUGUCAGGGAACAAAGGCGGGGACGUGUCCCCGGAUGAGUGUACCUGAAGAAAAAGCAUCGGCUAACUCCGUGCCAGCAGCCGCGGUAAUACGGAGGAUGCGAGCGUUAUCCGGAUUUAUUGGGUUUAAAGGGUGCGCAGGCGGUCUGUUAAGUCAGCGGUCAAAGCCCGGGGCUCAACCCCGGCCCGCCGUUGAAACUGGCAGUCUCGAGUUGGAGAGAAGUAUGCGGAAUGCGCGGUGUAGCGGUGAAAUGCAUAGAUAUCGCGCAGAACUCCGAUUGCGAAGGCAGCAUGCCGGCUCCACACUGACGCUGAGGCACGAAAGUGUGGGUAUCGAACAGGAUUAGAUACCCUGGUAGUCCACGCAGUAAACGAUGAAUGCUGGCUGUCCGGGGGGGAUUGACCCCUGGGU
rnacentral:rRNA from 1 species